rnacentral:rRNA from 1 species
CGCAACCCUCGCCCUAGUUGCAGCAUUAGUUGGGCACUCUAAGGGGACUGCCGGUGAUAAGCCGAGAGGAAGGUGGGGAGUGACGUCAAGUCCUCAUGGCCCUUACGGGCUGGGCUACACACGUGCUACAAUGGUGGUGACAGUGGGCAGCGAGCACGCGAGUGUGAGCUAAUCUCCAAAAGCCAUCUCAGUUCGGAUUGCACUCUGCAACUCGAGUGCAUGAAGUUGGAAUCGCUAGUAAUCGCGGAUCAGCAUGCCGCGGUGAAUACGUUCCCGGGCCUU